UACGGAAGGGGGCUAGCGUUGUUCGGAUUUACUGGGCGCAAAGCGCACGUAGGCGGAUCGUUAAGUCGGGGGUGAAAUCCUGGAGCUCAACUCCAGAACUGCCUUCGAUACUGGCGAUCUUGAGUCCGGAAGAGGUGAGUGGAACUCCGUAGUGUAGAGGUGGAAUUCGUAGAUAUUAGGAAGAACACCAGUGGCGAAGGGCGGACUCGCUGGUCCGGUACUGACGCUGAGGUGGCGAAAAGCGUGGGGAGCCAA
rnacentral:rRNA from 1 species